rnacentral:ncRNA from 1 species
CUAAAUAAUUUGAGAAGCGUUGUUUUUGCCACUGUGGUGAAAGAAGGUAAAGAGCCCCACGUGGAGGCCCGAGGUGGGAACCUGAGGCCUCUCCAGUCCACUGCUGCCAAGGAUGCACCACCCGCCUGUCUCACUUGCUGCGCUGGGGGUGUGGAGGAAAAGUGAAUGUGUUAGGACGGGAAAGAUGGUGAACUAUGUAUGCCUAGGCAGGGCGAAGCCAGAGGAACUCUGCUGGAGGUUCAGAGUGGUCCUGAUGUGCAAACUGGUCGUCCGACCUGGGACGCAAGACGAAACGAAACAUCUAGUAGCAGG